AGCAGCCGCGGUAAUUCCAGCUCCAAUAGCGUAUAUUAAAGUUGUUGCAGUUAAAAAGCUCGUAGUUGAAUUUCGGGGUUAGCAGGUCGGUCGUGCCAUCGGUAUGAACUGGUCUCGCUGAUCCCUCCCUCUUGACGAACUGUGAUGCCAUUAAUUUGGUGUCGCAGGGAAUCAGGACUGUUACUUUGAAAAAUUAGAGUGUUUAAAGCAGGCUCACGCUUGAAUACAUUAGCAUGGAAUAAUGAAAUAGGGCGUUUGAUCCUAUUUUGUUGGUUUCUAGGAUUGACGUAAUGAUUAAUAGGGAUAGUUGGGGGCAUUAGUAUUCAAUUGUCAGAGGUGAAAUUCUUGGAUUUAUUGAAGACUAACUACUGCGAAAGCAUUUG
rnacentral:rRNA from 1 species